rnacentral:lncRNA from 1 species
AAAUUGAAAAAAACAGUAGGCCUAGGAUCAUAUAUAAAUACAUAAAAUUGUUCAAAUAGUGGGUUUACUGUAUCUAAUUUGAACCCCUUUUUUUUAUCAUUUUGGGGUAUUUUGAUGUGCUUUGUGAGUCUAUAGACUUUGUUUUUGGUAAAUAGAAAGAUUAUUAUCUCAUCGUUUGAUUCAAAUUUUGUAGAGUCGUUCAAAGUUCAUCUUUUAAGCUUCAGUUGAUUUUACUGGACA